rnacentral:misc_RNA from 1 species
GAUGAAGAACGCAGCGAAAUGCGAUACGUAAUGUGAAUUGCAAAUUCAGUGAAUCAUCGAGUCUUUGAACGCACAUUGCGCCCCCUGGUAUUCCGGGGGGCAUGCCUGUCCGAGCGUCAUUGCUGCCCUCAAGCACGGCUUGUGUGUUGGGCCCCGUCCUCCGAUCCCGGGGGACGGGCCCGAAAGGCAGCGGCGGCACCGCGUCCGGUCCUCGAGCGUAUGGGGCUCUGUCACCCGCUCUGUAGGCCCGGCCGGCGCUUGCCGAUCAACCCAAAUUUUUAUCCAGGUUGACCUCGGAUCAGGUAGGGAUACCCGCUGAACUUAAGCAUAUCAAUAAGCGGAGGA